UACGUAGGGGCCAAGCGUUGUCCGGAUUUAUUGGGCGUAAAGAGCUCGUAGGCGGUUCGGCAAGUCAGCUGUGAAAUCUCCACGCUCAACGUGGAGGGGUCAGCUGAUACUGCUGUGACUCGAGUCCGGUAGGGGAGUGUGGAAUUCCCGGUGUAGCGGUGAAAUGCGCAGAUAUCGGGAGGAACACCUGUGGCGAAGGCGGCCCCCUGGUUGGAUACUGACGCUGAGACGCGAAAGCGUGGGGAGCAAACAGG
rnacentral:rRNA from 1 species